AGAGUUUGAUCCUGGCUCAGGAUGAACGCUAGCUACAGGCUUAACACAUGCAAGUCGAGGGGCAGCGGGAUUGAAGCUUGCUUCAAUUGCCGGCGACCGGCGCACGGGUGAGUAACGCGUAUCCAACCUUCCGUACACUCAGGGAUAGCCUUUCGAAAGAAAGAUUAAUACCUGAUAGUAUCUUAAGCACACAUGUAAUUAAGAUUAAAGAUUUAUCGGUGUACGAUGGGGAUGCGUUCCAUUAGGUAGUAGGCGGGGUAACGGCCCACCUAGCCAACGAUGGAUAGGGGUUCUGAGAGGAAGGUCCCCCACAUUGGAACUGAGACACGGUCCAAACUCCUACGGGAGGCAGCAGUGAGGAAUAUUGGUCAAUGGACGAGAGUCUGAACCAGCCAAGUAGCGUGAAGGAUGAAGGUCCUACGGAUUGUAAACUUCUUUUAUAAGGGAAUAAACCCUCCCACGUGUGGGAGCUUGUAUGUACCUUAUGAAUAAGCAUCGGCUAACUCCGUGCCAGCAGCCGCGGUAAUACGGAGGAUGCGAGCGUUAUCCGGAUUUAUUGGGUUUAAAGGGAGCGCAGACGGGUCGUUAAGUCAGCUGUGAAAGUUUGGGGCUCAACCUUAAAAUUGCAGUUGAUACUGGCGUCCUUGAGUGCGGUUGAGGUGUGCGGAAUUCGUGGUGUAGCGGUGAAAUGCUUAGAUAUCACGAAGAACCCCGAUUGCGAAGGCAGCUUGCUAAACUGUAACUGACGUUCAUGCUCGAAAGUGUGGGUAUCAAACAGGAUUAGAUACCCUGGUAGUCCACACGGUAAACGAUGGAUACUCGCUGUUGGCGAUAUACUGUCAGCGGCCAAGCGAAAGCAUUAAGUAUCCCACCUGGGGAGUACGCCGGCAACGGUGAAACUCAAAUGAAUUGACGG
rnacentral:rRNA from 1 species